rfam:Triticum aestivum genome assembly, contig: Triticum_aestivum_CS42_TGACv1_scaffold_556498_7AL
GAAGUACUCCCUCCGUCCGAAAAUACUUAUCGGGGAAAUGAAUGUAUCUAGACAUAUUUUAGUUGUAGAUACAUCCAAUUUUAUUCAUUUUCUCCGACAUGUAUUUCUGGACGGAGGGAGUAAUAA